GGCCAAAUUUUCACUGCAGCUUUUCAAGUAAGAACAUAAGGCUGUGGCCUCAGAAGUAAGGAGUACCCCGAAUCUGCUCACCUGGGUGUCCCUGAGGAAGGUCAGAUGCCACAUGAGGAGCUGCAAGAACAACAGUCCUCUGAAGAUGCAGUCUGAUCUUGUAUGGCACCAAACCCCUUCUGUGAAAUGCCAAGGAUCUCAAAUUCUGAUGCAUGAAGAAUUCUGAACACCACAAGAAAUUCUCCUCAUGGGUCUUAAUGAUGCUUUUUGGACUAAAAUCAAAUGUGGGAAGAAUAUGAACAACUAAUUGCUGGCUGUUCAAUCUCACUGAAUAUAAGCAAAUUUAUAG